rnacentral:rRNA from 1 species
GACAGGGGGCUCGAGCGUUAAUCGGAAUCACUGGGCUUAAAGGGUGCGUAGGUGGGCAAGUAAGUCAGUGGUGAAAUCUCCGGGCUUAACCCGGAAACUGCCAUUGAUACUAUUUGUCUUGAAUACUGUGGAGGUCAGCGGAAUAUGUCAUGUAGCGGUGAAAUGCUUAGAUAUGACAUAGAACACCAAUUGCGAAGGCAGCUGGCUACACAAAUAUUGACACUGAGGCACGAAAGCGUGGGGAUCAAACAGG